UACGUAGGGUGCAAGCGUUGUCCGGAUUUAUUGGGCGUAAAGAGCUCGUAGGCGGUUUGUCGCGUCGGAUGUGAAAACCCAGGGCUCAACCCUGGGCCUGCAUUCGAUACGGGCAGACUAGAGUAUGGCAGGGGAGACUGGGAAUUCCUGGGUGUAGCGGUGAAAUGCGCAGAUAUCAGGAGGAACACCGGUGGCGAAGGCGGGUCUCUGGGCCAAAACUGACGCUGGAGGAGCGAAAGCGUGGGGAGCGAACAGG
rnacentral:rRNA from 1 species